rnacentral:rRNA from 1 species
CACGUAGUUGGCCGGUGCUUCUUCUGCAGGUACCGUCACUUGCGCUUCGUCCCUGCUGAAAGAGGUUUACAACCCGAAGGCCGUCAUCCCUCACGCGGCGUCGCUGCAUCAGGCUUUCGCCCAUUGUGCAAUAUUCCCCACUGCUGCCUCCCGUAGGAGUCUGGGCCGUGUCUCAGUCCCAGUGUGGCCGGUCGCCCUCUCAGGCCGGCUACCCGUCGUCGCCUUGGUAGGCCAUUACCCCACCAACAAGCUGAUAGGCCGCGGGCUCAUCCCUAGCCAGUAAACCCUUUCCACCUCGGAAGAUGCCUUCUGAGGUCGUAUCCGGUAUUAGCCCCGGUUUCCCGGGGUUAUCCCAGAGCUAGGGGCAGAUUGCCCACGUGUUACUCACCCGUUCGCCGCUAGGACAUCCUUCCCGAAGGAAGGAGCCUCGCUCGACUUGCAUGUGUUAAGCACGCCGCCAGCGUUCGUCCUGAGCCAGGAUCAAACUCU